UGAAAAAUGAAAGUCUGAACCCACUAAGCAACUCCCCAUUUCCCUGUCCUCAAAAAUCAUAGCCUUUGCUACGAAGCAAGAGAAUAUGAUGGGCUGCAGCCUGGAGCUUAAGCAUUAAGAGUGAACUUCAGGAAGCAGUUGGCAGAAGGAUGUUCACAGUAUGGCCAUGAGGGUGACAGUGGUAAUGGUAAAUGACGCAGAGUUGCAGAGAAAGUAAUCCAGGUGAUAACGCAUCCAAAAUAACAGCAAAGCGCAUGGGAACCACACCAGACCUCAUUCAUACUGCUGUUCCUUUAGCCAAAUGCAAAGGUGACCAGGGGAACUCAUCAGGACCAUGUAAAUGCUUGGUAGCAGCUGACGGAGACAUCAUCGUUAAUGCCGGACCUAGUGUGCAGAUGCCAACUUUGCUGACAAAAGUGGAUAACGCACUGGGAACCAUGGGUGAAGCUGAAUGGGAGGGCUAGUCUCCACAGAAGAAUAUUGCUGGCAUGAUGGUCACUGAGGGCACAUUCCCCUCACACUGGCUCCGUCUUCCUCAUUCCACCAGCUCAGGUGAGUCAAUGGUCCGAAAGAUGCCAAAACCACACAAUCCUGCUCUGGCUAUACUCCCAACUGAAAUAUAGGUUGCUGUCACAGUCAGGCUCGUGAUGUCUGGUGCUUUGGCAUGCUCUGGGGUUCACACAACCCCUUCACCUCGUUUGCAAACGGCUGUGCCAGAACUGUCUGCAUGAACGCACUCACACAAGGCCACACAAGAGAUGCACGAAAUGCCUUCAUGGGCAGCCUUUGGACAACAGGAGGCUAGACAUUCACAGGCACUUUGCUUAGGAACACAGAUCAAAUUUAGGAAGUAGAAGUCAGAAGAUCAAGAGUUCGAGGCCAGCCUCAGCUAACCAAUAUGUCUUAAAACACAAACACCUGAAUCAAAACCCAGAGAAAGGCUUACUUUUUACAUAAUAUCAACUUCCUAUGACACAAAAUUAUGUUGUAAAAAUAUCUUGAUAUUUGAAUAUAAGUUCAAACUAACUAUAAAACAAAUGAGACACACUCAGGCACAAUCAAACCGUAGGAUCUCCUCUCUCUCACCUGAUAAUAUACAGCAGUGUAUUUUCACUGUCCCUUCCCCUAAAAUCCUGGCCCUGCUCUGCCCUAUUUGGAAGCUUAGGACCCUUAGUCUCCAUAGCUUUGCAUAGCCAUGGCUUCCCUCAAAAUCUUACACCUCAUUACAAAGAUAAUCGUGGGGGAAAAAAACAGUUUAAGACUACAGUCAAGGAAGGGCAUGACUUAUGACACAAAAGAACAAUUAUGCUUUUGUCUUAAAAAUAAGCACAACUGGGGCUGGAGAGAUGGCUCAGUGGUUAAGAGCACCGACUGCUCUUCCGAAGAUCCUGAAUUCAAUUCCAGCAACCACAUGCUGGCUCACAACCAUCUGUAAUGGGAUCUGGUGCCCUCUUUUGGAGUGUCUGAAGACAGCUACAGUGUACUUACGUAUAAUAAUAAAUAAAUCUAAAAAAAAACAAAACCCCACAUCUGCCCAACCAUGGCAAAUAAUUAAAGCCUCCACGUUGUUAAGGCCUGAACACUGGUUCCCCGCACCCCCUCCCCCAACACUUCCUCACCCUGAUCCUAAGCACUAGGAACGAUGGCCUACUAGGAUCUGAUUGCAGGUCUCAGCAAUGAAGAACUCGCACUGCUCUGCAAAUGAACUCCAGUUCAGCUCCCAGCACUCACAUCAGGAGGCUCAAGAGCACUCCAACUGUAGCUCCAGGAGAGGCAGCGCGCAUGUGCUGGCCCAUGCACAGAGUCACAAUCUUAAAACAGAGAGCUUCUCCCAGAAUACUUAAAUAGGACCAACAGGAUCAUGAGAAUCUAUGAAAGCAAAGGACUUUGCUUACAGGCACCCGGGAGGAUUUGGAUAAAUUGGGAUACUUACUCCUACAUGACCGCUAAGAAUGCAAAAUGGCAUACCCAGUAGGAAAAAUAAUGUGUUCAGUCUUCAAAACGCAUCCACAGCCAAAAAGAGGGGCACAUGCCUGCCACCUCAACACACAGGAGGCUGAAGCAGGCUAAUCAUGAGUUUGAGGCCAGCCUGGAAUAUAUAGUAGUAUCUGUCUCAACAACACAAAAGGUAUAUACAGACUUAAUGAAUAACCCCACAUCUCCACCCUACACACACACACACACACACACACUCCAUUUAAACAGAUAAAUAUAUAUCUGUUAAUAUAUAUUUGUGAAAAUAUAUAACUAAAACAACACUAGUAUUUAUAAAUGUAAUAUCCACAAUAAACAAAGGAUAAAACAACCCAAAGAUCCAAAAGCAGAUGACUGGAUAAAAUCUGCUUGUAGUAUAUGUGUGCAAAGGAAUAUUAUUGGCCAAAAAUUACAUCAGACUCAGAAUUGGAAUCAGAUUCCCUCUUCUAGUGUGCAUGAAAAUAGAGCAUUCAUAUACACAAAAUAAAUAAAUUAAAAAUAUAUCUACAUGACGUCUAAGGAGUGCCUUUAUUUAUUUACUUACUUACUUAUUUGUUCAUUUACUCAUUUAUGAAGUGUUGUGACAAGACAAAGUCCACCACCUUGUAUUCUUGACGAGGCCAUUGAUGUUUGACUAGCAUUUGAUCUCCUUGAUGGGAAGCCCCAUGGAAAAUUACCCAACUCUAUUCUAGGAACCCAAAGUCAAGGUGCCCCAGCUAACUUAUCUUGGCCUCUGUCAAACUGUUUCCUUGUACAAACAUCCUCCUGCCACUGCAGAGCAAGAUCCCAGGAUGUGGGGUUUGCCUGUAAAGCCCCCUCACUCUAAUCGCUCUAUGCUCCACCUCCAGCCAGCUGCAACAGAGACUUUCAGUUGGCUACACACUGUAUUUCAGUGGUUUUUCUCCAGUGGACACCCUGUAAAAGCUUAAGUCCAUAAAAUGUCAUAAAAACAGAAGAAUUCGUCCACACAGAGGCAGGUGGAUCUCUGUGAGCACAACUGGUCUACAAAGUGAAUUCUAGGUCUGACAGUGGGGAGAUCACUUCUGGACAAUGCCACCUGGAUAGAAUGGAUUUUCCCCUCUUCCUAGCCCGACUGGGAUAUGAUGACUUUGGAGCUCUUUGCCAGGCCCUUUGUAGAAGGAUUUGAAGGCAGCUUCGAGAAAACCUAACAGUUUAAGGAUAAAAGAGAUAAUACAAUAACCAUGAUUCUAAACAAAGAAAGAAAGGAAAGGAAAGAAAAGAAAAGAAAAGAAAAGAAAAGAAAAGAAAAGAAAAGAAAAGAAAAGAAACACAAAAAACCUGAGUAUGGUAGUGUUCAGGGAGACUGAUAAAAAGAGACCCUACAGGAUCUCAUAACACAGUAGGUCCAGGAGAGAUACCACUCGACUUUUAGUGGUAGAUUUGGCUAUAUUCAGGAAGAAGGGGAAAAAAAAAACAUGCACAUGGGACAUGAAAAAGGAGUGUGUGCAUAUAGCGUGCAUGCCUUGGGGGUGGGGUUGGGGGUGUGCAGGUUGUAUGGGUUCCCUGUAUGCUCAGUUGGGUAAAGCACAACAUUGGGGGUGGGUAGGAGAGAGCACCACAUAACUCCAGUAGCUGAACUCAGUCCACACAUUCACUGUGUUCUAGAGGCAAAAACUCUUCAGUUUCCCACAAAGCAGUGUUAUGCUUCCCCGGGAGGCUGUAAGUAUCUGAAGAUAUGCCAAGGUAUCACAGUGGCCCUGAAAUCUUUACAUUCUGCAACACCCCGACUCUUCUCACUCAAAAAAGCCAUGCCCAACUCAUACACGCCAAUCUACCCUAAUUCCAACAACACCCUCAACAUCCAGCAAGCGAAUGAUGAAUCCCAAGGAUUAUUCAAGUAUGCCCACGGCCCAGGUUUGGUCCUCUUCAAAGGAGAAAUUCAAUGAUGCGGUCAGCAACAAAACCAAGGGAUUUUCAAACUCCGACUCCCCUUCUGAGCGAGCCUUUACAAACAGACCCUCCUACCCUGUCCUGAUCUCAGGGUCUGCUGGCCUGCUGCUGUCACUAUGUCCUUCCUGAGGCAGCCAGCCACUGACAAGCAGCCCAUUCACCCUCUCUCUCCUCUAUGCAUAUAUUUAUACAUGGUAGGCACAAUAUGUCCUCUGUUAUUUCUCAUGGUUGGGCAAUAGGGACAUUAUUUGAUAGUGAGGUGCCACACAUACCAUGCAUGCAUGGUUUCUAAGUAAAUAGGACGUAUUGAAGUUUAUCCACCCAAAGCCUGCUAUCAUAUCUUCAUCUUGCUUUAAUGAAUAAAGAACCCAAAGAUGCUAGGAUGCUUUCUGGCUACAAUGACAGCAAUGAAGUAUAAUGACAAGUUGGAUACUUAGAAUCCUUUACAUCGUAAUUCAAAUCCCAGUUACUUGUGAUUCAUUAUAAAAGCAAUAGAUUUCUGAGCUUCAACGGUGUCAUCUAGAAAUGAUAACAAGAAACACAAAACAAACAAAACCCCUGUCAGGGUCACUAUGAAACACUGAAAAGUACUUCUCAUAGCAGCCAUACACGGGUCCAGGUGGAGAGACGUCAAGAGAGGCUAUGGCAGAAAAUGAAGAUUCUGUGCAGACCAUAAAGUCAAACAGAACAGGCAACCAUGUCUAUGCACACGUGUACACACACACACACACACACACACACACACACACAGGGACACACCCUAUUUGUAAUACAGCCUAGGAUAGCAACCAGCCAUAUGUUGACUGGUAAAUAACCUUUUUACCUUCAGUUCUCUCGUCUGCAUAAUAAGGAUGCUACUCACUAUAAAGGAAUUCUUUGACAAUUAAAAACUAAAUGAGUGACUACAUGAACUGUGUUUCAUGGAGUCGGCACGCUAUUUACUAGGUCUCAUCUACUGAGUAAUGGAACACAGAAUACAGUACAACCAAAUCAAAGAGGGGAGGACGUGAGAACUGAACUUUGGUCUGUAACACAGUCCCCUGAAGAGUUUCUCUGAUGUAACAGAGAUGGUGGCAUCACGAUCCCAAACUUGAGCACUAAGGACCCUACUGCACUACAGUGAUGUCAAACUCUAGAAUGACUUUUAAGUUUUUGAAGGAAGAAAUGGUAAGGAAAGUCUGCCUGAUUCCAAGGAAACUCCUAGCCUAUAACAGGAGUUAAGCACUAAGGUGUGCUGGAGUGGGUGGGUCUUGCCUUUGCGGCUUGCAGCAGCUGCUGCAAAUAGGAGUAACAGAAGAAGAUGAGGCUUGCAGAGGAUUGAGCUGGGAGCAUCAGUACAAUCUAAAUUGAAGGCUGAAGCUGUGCUGAGCCCAGUAGACACACCUCUCAUAGACAAUCACAAUUCUUUUUAAAGCAGUGGUUGUCAACCUUCCUAAUGCUACGACCUUUUAAUAUAGUCCCUCAUUUUGUGGUAGUCCUCAACCAUAAAACUGGUUUUGUUGCUAUUUCAUAACUAUAAUUUUGCUACUGCUAUGAAUUGCAUUGUAAAUAUCUGAUAGGCACCCCCUAUGAAAAGCCUGUUUGACCCCCAAAGAGAUCAAGACCCACAGGUUGAAAGCCACUGUUUUAAAGAAUAAAGGGUCUUUUUCUCAUUGUGUG